rnacentral:rRNA from 1 species
CCUACGUGUGGCAGCAGUGAGGAAUAUUGGUCAAUGGGCGCGAGCCUGAACCAGCCAAGUCGCGUGAGGGAUGACUGCCCUACGGGUUGUAAACCUCUUUUGCCGGGGAGCAACGGGCGCCACGUGUGGCCCCACUGAGAGUACCCGGAGAAAAAGCAUCGGCUAACUCCGUGUCAGCAGCCGCGGUAAUACGGAGGAUGCGAGCGUUAUCCGGAUUUAUUGGGUUUAAAGGGUGCGUAGGCGGAACGUUAAGUCAGUGGUAAAAUUGAGGGGCUCAACCCCUUCCCGCCAUUGAAACUGGCGUUCUUGAGUGGAAGAGAAGUAUGCGGAAUGCGUGGUGUAGCGGUGAAAUGCAUAGAUAUCACGCAGAACCCCGAUUGCGAAGGCAGCAUGCCGGCUUCCGACUGACGCUGAAGCACGAAAGCGUGGGGAUCGAACAGGAUUAGAUACCCUUGUAGUC